UUCCAGACUCCUACGGGAGGCAGCAGUGGGGAAUAUUGCACAAUGGGGGAAACCCUGAUGCAGCGACGCCGCGUGAAGGAAGAAGUAUCUCGGUAUGUAAACUUCUAUCAGCAGGGAAGAAAACAGACGGUACCUGACUAAGAAGCCCCGGCUAACUACGUGCCAGCAGCCGCGGUAAUACGUAGGGGGCAAGCGUUAUCCGGAUUUACUGGGUGUAAAGGGAGCGUAGACGGCAGUGCAAGUCUGAAGUGAAAGGCAAGGGCUCAACCCUUGGACUGCUUUGGAAACUGUGCUGCUGGAGUGUCGGAGAGGCAAGUGGAAUUCCUAGUGUAGCGGUGAAAUGCGUAGAUAUUAGGAGGAACACCAGUGGCGAAGGCGGCUUGCUGGACGAUGACUGACGUUGAGGCUCGAAAGCGUGGGGAGCAAACAGGAUUAGAUACCCGAGUAAA
rnacentral:rRNA from 1 species